GACGAACGCUGGCGGCGUGCUUAACACAUGCAAGUCGAACGGAAAGAGAUGAAAGAGCUUGCUCUUUUAUUAAUUUCAGUGGCAAACGGGUGAGUAACACGUAAACAACCUGCCUUAAGGAUGGGGAUAACAGACGGAAACGACUGCUAAUACCGAAUACGUUCUAAGCAUCGCAUGGUGCAUAGAAGAAAGGGUGGCCUCUACAAGAAAGCUAUCGCCUUAAGAGGGGUUUGCGACUGAUUAGGUAGUUGGUGAGGUAACGGCUCACCAAGCCGACGAUCAGUAGCCGGUCUGAGAGGAUGAACGGCCACACUGGAACUGAGACACGGUCCAGACUCCUACGGGAGGCAGCAGUGGGGAAUCUUCCGCAAUGGACGAAAGUCUGACGGAGCAACGCCGCGUGAACGAAGAAGGUCUUCGGAUUGUAAAGUUCUGUGAUUCGGGACGAAAGGGUUUGUGGUGAAUAAUCAUAGACAUUGACGGUACCGAAAAAGCAAGCCACGGCUAACUACGUGCCAGCAGCCGCGGUAAUACGUAGGUGGCAAGCGUUGUCCGGAAUUAUUGGGCGUAAAGCGCGCGCAGGCGGUUUCUUAAGUCCAUCUUAAAAGCGUGGGGCUCAACCCCAUGAGGGGAUGGAAACUGGGAAGCUGGAGUAUCGGAGAGGAAAGUGGAAUUCCUAGUGUAGCGGUGAAAUGCGUAGAGAUUAGGAAGAACACCGGUGGCGAAGGCGACUUUCUAGACGAAAACUGACGCUGAGGCGCGAAAGCGUGGGGAGCAAACAGG
rnacentral:rRNA from 1 species